GACGAACGCUGGCGGCGUGCUUAACACAUGCAAGUCGAACGGUGAACUCCGCUUGCGGGGGAUCAGUGGCGAACGGGUGAGUAACACGUGGGCAACCUGCCCUCAGCUCUGGGAUAACUCCAAGAAAUUGGGGCUAAUACCGGAUAUGACCGCUGACCGCAUGGUCUGGUGGUGGAAAGAUUUAUCGGCUGGGGAUGGGCCCGCGGCCUAUCAGCUUGUUGGUGGGGUAGUGGCCUACCAAGGCGACGACGGGUAGCCGGCCUGAGAGGGUGACCGGCCACACUGGGACUGAGACACGGCCCAGACUCCUACGGGAGGCAGCAGUGGGGAAUAUUGCGCAAUGGGCGAAAGCCUGACGCAGCGACGCCGCGUGGGGGAUGACGGCCUUCGGGUUGUAAACCUCUUUCAGCGGGGACGAAGCGAAAGUGACGGUACCUGCAGAAGAAGCACCGGCCAACUACGUG
rnacentral:rRNA from 1 species